AAAAACAUACUGCUAAAGUUUUUGUGCUUGAAAGUUGGGGAUGAGAGAAACCAGUUAAUUCCGGUUCUGACCAAGAUGCUGAAACUAAGUCCAGAGGAGAAACAUACCCUUACGCAAAUAGCCCAGGGAGAUGGCACUGGGGAAGUCCCACAGCC